ACGGGAGGCAGCAGUGGGGAAUAUUGGACAAUGGGGGAAACCCUGAUCCAGCGACGCCGCGUGAGUGAAGAAGUAUUUCGGUAUGUAAAGCUCUAUCAGCAGGGAAGAAAAUGACGGUACCUGACUAAGAAGCCCCGGCUAACUACGUGCCAGCAGCCGCGGUAAUACGUAGGGGGCAAGCGUUAUCCGGAUUUACUGGGUGUAAAGGGAGCGUAGACGGCAGAUCAAGUCUGAAGUGAAAUUCCGAGGCUCAACCACGGAACUGCUUUGGAAACUGGUCAGCUAGAGUGUCGGAGAGGUGAGUGGAAUUCCCAGUGUAGCGGUGAAAUGCGUAGAUAUUGGGAGGAACACCGGUGGCGAAGGCGGCUCACUGGACGAUAACUGACGUUGAGGCUCGAAAGCGUGGGGAGCAAACAGGAUUAGAUACCCUGGUA
rnacentral:rRNA from 1 species